rnacentral:rRNA from 1 species
GAUGAACGCUGGCGGCGUGCCUAAUACAUGCAAGUCGAACGAAUCUUCUUCGGAAGAUGAGUGGCGAACGGGUGAGUAAUACAUAGGUAACCUGCCCCUGUGCGGGGGAUAACAGGAGGAAACUCCUGCUAAUACCGCAUAGCCAUGAGCACCGCAUGGAGCUCAUGCCAAAUAUCCUUUCGGGGAUAGCGCAGGGAUGGACCUAUGGCGCAUUAGCUGGUUGGCGGGGCAACGGCCCACCAAGGCAACGAUGCGUAGCCGGCCUGAGAGGGCGGAAGGCAACAUUGGGACUGAGCAGCGGCGCAGACUCCUACGGGAGGCAGCAGUAGGGAAUUUUCGGCGAUGGGGGAAACCCUGACCGAGCAACGCCGCGUGAGCGAAGAAGGCCUUCGGGUCGUAAAGCUCUGUUGUAAAGGAAGAACGGCGCAUGCAGGAAAUGGUAUGCGAGUGACGGUACUUUACCAGAAAGCCACGGCUAACUACGUGCCAGCCGCCGCCGUAAGAC